GUAAACCAAAAGGACAAAGAAGAAUGAAGAAUCCAAAGUAUAAAAGCCAGAUGUCAUAUUUCUGAACUCUCCCUAACAUUGGCCCCUCCAAUCCCACACUCCCAACCACCAACAAAUCCACCGUCAAUGGCGAACUCUUUCAUUCCACUUUCUCUCUUUCACUCGCAUUUUCCCUCUCUUCCUCAUUGCACCUUCAAAUUCUCCACCACUCGCUGCAAUUACUCGUCUCUUGAAGUAUGUACGCUCUUAUCCAGUAACCGUUUCAAGAAUUCAUUGAUUUUAAUUUUAAUUUUGUUUAUUAUCUGAAAUGCAAU
rnacentral:lncRNA from 1 species